AACAUGGAAUAAGACACAUGGAUAAAGACACAUGGAAUAAGACACAUGGAAGAAGACACAUGGAUAAAGACACAUGGAAUAAGACACAUGGAAUAAGACACAUGGAAGAAGACACAUGGAAUAAGACACAUGGAAGAAGACACAUGGAAUAAGACACAUGGAUAAAGACACAUGGAAUAAGACACAUGGAAUAAGACACAUGGAAUAACGACACAUGGAAUAAGACACAUGGAACAUGACACAUGGAAUAAGACACAUGGAAUAAAGACACAUGGAAUAAGACACAUGGAAUAAGACACAUGGAUAAAGACACAUGGACAAAGACACAUGGAAUAAAACACAUGGAAGAAGACACAUGGAAUAAGACACAUGGAUAAAGACACAUGGAAUAAGACACAUGGAAUAAGACACAUGGAAUAAGACACAUAGAUAAAGACACAUGGAAUAAGACACAUGGAUAAAGACACAUGGAUAAAGACACAUGGACAAAGACACAUGGAAUAAAACACAUGGAAGAAGACACAUGGAAUAAGACACAUGGACAAAGACACAUGGAAUAAAACACAUGGAAGAAGACACAUGGAAUAAGACACAUGGAUAAAGACACAUGGAAUAAGACACAUGGAAUAAGACACAUGGAAUAAGACACAAUGAAGAAGCCCAGCUAAUUCAUAUACAGCUGCACGCCUCUCUUUUUCUCUCUCCUCCUCCCUUCCUCCCCUCCUCCUCUCCUCACCCUCCUCCUCUCUUCUCCUCUCCUCCUCCACUCCUCACCUUCCGCCUCUCCUCCCAUCCUCUCUCUCCUUCUGUCCUCCUCUCCUCCGCCUCUCCUCCUCCUCUCCUCCCCACCUCCCCACCUCUUCUCCUCUGCUCCUCUCCCUCCUUUUCUCUUCUCCUCCUCUCCUCACCCUUCACCUCUCCUCCCAUCCUCCUCUCCUUCUGUCCUGCUCUCCUCCUCCCACCUCUUCUGUUCCUCCUCCUCUCCCUCCUCUUCUCUUCUCCUCUCCUCCUCCUCUCCUCCCAUCCUCCUCUCCUACCCGCCUCUCCUCCUCCCUUACUCCUCUCAACAAUCCUCCUCUUCUCCUCCCCCUCUUCUUCUCCCAUACUCAUCCUCUCCUCCUCCUCUUCUUCUCAUCCUCCUCCCAUCCUCCUCUCCUCCUCUCCUCCUCCCCUCCUCUCCUCAUCCUCCUCUCUUCCUCCUCCUCUCCUCCUCUCUUCUCCUCACCCUCCUCCUCUCCUCACCUUCCAUUUCUCCUCCCCUCCUGUCAUGCCUCUCUCCAUAGCCAGUGCAGACAGAUAAGCAGCCAGCCAUAGACUGGCUAAUCCACUGGGAGAAACAGACCAUGAUAGCAAGAUAAAAACCAGCUAGAUAAGCAUGGAGAGAGAGAGAAACCGAGAGAGAGAGACAGAGAGAGAGACAAAGAGACAAAGAGACAGACAGAGAGAAAGAGACAAAGAGCGAGAGAGAGACAAAGAGACAGAGAGAAAGACAUAGAGAGACAAAGAGAGACAGAGAGACAUAGACAAAGAGGGAGACAAAGAAUAAGGGACAGAAGGUUAGAGAAGAGGGGACUAGAGGUAGAGAGACAGAGAGAGGAGAAGGGACAGAAGGGAAGAGGGGACUAGAGGUAGAGAGACAGAGAGAGGAGAAGGGACAGAAGGGAAGAGGGGACUAGAGGUAGAGAGACAGAGAGAGGAGAAGGGACAGAAGGGAAGAGGGGACUAGAGGUAGAGAGACAGAGAGAGGAGAAGGGACAGAAGGGAAGAGGGGACUAGAGGUAGAGAGACAGAGAGAGGAGAAGGGACAGAAGGGAAGAGGGGACUAGAGGUAGAGAGACAGAGAGAGGAGAAGGGACAGACGGGAAGAGGGGACUAGAGGUAGAGAGACAGAGAGAGGAGAAGGGACAGAAAGGAAGAGGGGACUAGAGGUAGAGAAGUGCAGUAGUUGAGGAAAUAGCAGGAGGUUAAUGUGUUUGUAGUCUGCAGACAGUUUGUCUAAUUUGUUUGAGUGUGACGCCAUAUGUGUUAGUGAGGUCUGUAGAUCUCUCUCGUUCUGUCGCUCUCUCAAUUCAAUUGAAUUCAAUUCCAUUCAAAGGGAAGUAUUGGCAUGGGAAACAUAUGUUUACAUUGCCAAAACAACUGAAAUAGACAAUUAACAAAAGUGAAAUAAACAAUAAAAAAUGAACAGUAAACAAAAGAAUAAAGACAUUUUAAAUGUUAUAUUAUGGCUAUAUACAGUGUUGUAAAAAAGCCUGGAGGGAGCGGUUGAGCCGGAUUACCAGACGCCCUAAAUACCAGAUGUAUUUCUGAGUGUAUCUGAGUGGAGCCAAAGAGAGGAAGAGUGUGCAAGUUGGAGCAGAGAAUGAGUCAGAAUUUGAUUGAGAAGAGAAAGAAAGAUGCAGUUUUGCAGACAACCCAGAAGUGGUUCCCCAGAGAGACGUUUUGGAGGUUUUCGUCAGAUGUAGAGCGCUCUCUCUCUCUCUCUCUCUCUCUCUCUCUCUCUCUCUCUCUCUCUCUCUCUACCUCCCUCUCUCUCUCCAUCCCUCUAUCUCCCUCCCUCUAUCUCCCUCUCUCUCUCGCUCUCUCUUUCUCUUUCUCUCUCUACCUCCCUCUCUCUCCAUCCCUCUAUCUCCCUCUCUCUCUAUCUCCAUCCCUCUAUCUCCCUCUCUCUCUCUCUCUCUCUCUCUCUCUUUC
rnacentral:lncRNA from 1 species